UACAGAGGGUGCGAGCGUUGUCCGGAAUUACUGGGCGUAAAGGGCGCGUAGGCGGCUCGAUAAGUAGGGGGUGAAAUUCCGUGGCUCAACCACGGAACUGCCUUCUAGACUGUCAGGCUUGAGCACGGUAGAGGCAGAUGGAAUUCCCGGUGUAGCGGUGGAAUGCGUAGAGAUCGGGAAGAACACCAGUGGCGAAGGCGGUCUGCUGGGCCGUUGCUGACGCUGAUGCGCGACAGCGUGGGGAGCAAACAGG
rnacentral:rRNA from 1 species